rfam:Populus trichocarpa scaffold_423_contig_4, whole genome shotgun sequence.
UGAUCUAUCUGUGACAAAUUCUUAUCUAGUUGUGGUAAACCUGCACCUAACUGCUCAAAAUUACAUGUUAACUUGAGUGCAUCAGAAGUGUUUUGUAAAGAACUUGCUUUCAAAGCAGAUAUAUUAUCUUAGAAAAGCAAGUUGAAA